rnacentral:rRNA from 1 species
AUUGAACGCUGGCGGCAGGCCUAACACAUGCAAGUCGAGCGGAUGAAGGGAGCUUGCUCCUGGAUUCAGCGGCGGACGGGUGAGUAAUGCCUAGGAAUCUGCCUGGUAGUGGGGGAUAACGUCCGGAAACGGGCGCUAAUACCGCAUACGUCCUGAGGGAGAAAGUGGGGGAUCUUCGGACCUCACGCUAUCAGAUGAGCCUAGGUCGGAUUAGCUAGUUGGUGGGGUAAAGGCCUACCAAGGCGACGAUCCGUAACUGGUCUGAGAGGAUGAUCAGUCACACUGGAACUGGGACACGGUCCAGACUCCUGCGGGAGGCAGCAGUGGGGAAUAUUGGACAAUAGGCGAAAGCCUGAUCCAGCCAUGCCGCGUGUGUGAAGAAGGUCUUCGGAUUGUAAAGCACUUUAAGUUGGGAGGAAGGGCAGUAAGUUAAUACCUUGCUGUUUUGACGUUACCAGCAGAAUAAGCACCGGCUAACUUCGUG